rnacentral:rRNA from 1 species
GCAAGCGUUGUCCGGAAUUAUUGGGCGUAAAGAGCUCGUAGGCGGUCUGUUGCGUCGGCUGUGAAAACCCGGGGCUCAACCCCGGGCCUGCAGCCGAUACGGGCAGACUAGAGUUCGGCAGGGGAGACUGGAAUUCCUGGUGUAGCGGUGAAAUGCGCAGAUAUCUGGAGGAAUACCGGUGGCGAAGGCGGCAUCCUGGACCGGCAUUGACGCUGAGGAGCGAAAGCCAGGGGAGCAAACGGG